CUAGCAACCGCAUAGCAACACCCUAGCAACCAUCCCAGAUACCCUAGCAACCGCAUAGCAACACCUUAGCAACCACUCAGGGUACCCUAGCAACCGCAUAGCAACACCCUAGCAACCAUCCCAGAUACCCUAGCAACCGCAUAGCAACACCUUAGCAACCACUCAGGGUACCCUAGCAACCGCAUAGCAACACCCUAGCAACCAUCCCAGGUACCCUAGCAACCGCAUAGCAACACCCUAGCAACCACUCCGGGUACCCUAGCAACCGCAUAGCAACACCUUAGCAACCACUCCGGGUACCCUAGCAACUGCAUAGCAAUUAUCAAACUUUUUAACUUAACUUAAAAUUUAAUUUUCAACUCUUUAAACUGGCUAGGCUUUCUCAAGCCAACUUAAAGUUUGUCUUGACGAACUUUUUUAUCUAGUUAUUAUUAUUAUUCUUCUUAGACUAAAUUAUCAACUCUAACUCCUCCUAGAGCUUUAACUCUACAGACUCCAAACUCGGACCAGCUCUUCAGACUAAUCUCGCCGGGUGUGCUAUAUCUUUUCUAACUGAUCGGACUUAUACUUUUCAUAAAACUGAAGAUUAAAAAUCAUAAAAAUCCCAUAGACUUGCAUUGAAAAGCCUCUGCUCAUCUGAACAUUCCGUGAACUCCAACUGUCAAAAAUUCAAAUCUAAACACACUGAAGCCCAUUAGACUCAAUCAGACUAACCUAUGUACUAUUACUAACCCAUUCAAACUCAUUCAAACUCAUCUAUCUAUCUAUCUAUCUAUAUUC